rnacentral:rRNA from 1 species
GGGGAUAACGUUUGGAAACGAACGCUAAUACCGCAUGAUAUUAUUGAGCUGCAUGGCUUGAUAAUCAAAGGAGCAAUCCGCUGAAAGAUGGGCUCGCGUCCGAUUAGGUAGUUGGCGGGGCAACGGCCCACCAAGCCGACGAUCGGUAGCCGGACUGAGAGGUUGAACGGCCACAUUGGGACUGAGACACGGCCCAGACUCCUACGGGAGGCAGCAGUGAGGGAUAUUGGUCAAUGGGGGAAACCCUGAACCAGCAACGCCGCGUGAGGGAAGACGGUUUUCGGAUUGUAAACCUCUGUCCUCUGUGAAGAUGAUGACGGUAGCAGAGGAGGAAGCUCCGGCUAACUACGUGCCAGCAGCCGCGGUAAUACGUAGGGAGCAAGCGUUGUCCGGAUUUACUGGGUGUAAAGGGUGCGUAGGCGGCUUUGCAAGUCAGAAGUGAAAUCCAUGGGCUUAACCCAUGAACUGCUUUUGAAACUGCAGAGCUUGAGUGGAGUAGAGGUAGGCGGAAUUCCCGGUGUAGCGGUGAAAUGCGUAGAGAUCGGGAGGAACACCAGUGGCGAAGGCGGCCUGCUGGGCUCUAACUGACGCUGAGGCACGAAAGCGUGGGUAGCAAGCAGGAUUAGAUACCCUGGUAGUCCACGCUGUAAACGAUGAUUACUAGGUGUGGGUGGACUGACCCCAUCCGUGCCGGAG